rnacentral:lncRNA from 1 species
AGCUUCCUCAGGAUGAGAAUAUGUGAGAAGGACAACUCUGCAGAUACCAAGGUCAGUGAAGAAGGAGGGCAGGAGGUGCUCCAGGGAUUCCCCUGCAGCCUGUGGUGCAGCUCACAGUGAAGCAGCUGUGCCCCAGCAGCCCUUGAAGGUUCAUAUGGGAUGUAAAUAUUCACCUGCAGCCCUUGGAGGAGACUCAUACCAGAGCAGACGGAUGCCUGAGAGGAGGCUGUGACCCUGUGGGAGGCCCAUGGACAGAGAAUCCUGAGAUGCAGCUACCUAUACCUGAAGGACUGCACCCUCUGGAAGAAUGACCCACUCUUCCCAAUAAAGUGUUUGGUCAAAAGAAAGAGCAUUAAAUGCACCUCAGGGCAGAAAGCAAAAAUUACAAAGGCAAGAAAAUAUCAAAGAAGCGCACUAAAGGGAAUAUGCCACAGGCUACCUUGGUUUUACACGGAAAAGUAG